rnacentral:rRNA from 1 species
GAUGAACGCUGGCGGCGUGCCUAAUACAUGCAAGUCGAGCGAACAGACGAGGAGCUUGCUCCUCUGACGUUAGCGGCGGACGGGUGAGUAACACGUGGAUAACCUACCUAUAAGACUGGGAUAACUUCGGGAAACCGGAGCUAAUACCGGAUAAUAUAUUGAACCGCAUGGUUCAAUAGUGAAAGACGGUUUUGCUGUCACUUAUAGAUGGAUCCGCGCCGCAUUAGCUAGUUGGUAAGGUAACGGCUUACCAAGGCAACGAUGCGUAGCCGACCUGAGAGGGGGAUCGGCCACCCUGGAACUGAGACACGGUCCAGACUCCUACGGGAGGCAGCAGUAGGGAAUCUUCCGCAAUGGGCGAAAGCCUGACGGAGCAACGCCGCGUGAGUGAUGAAGGUCUUCGGAUCGUAAAACUCUGUUAUUAGGGAAGAACAAAUGUGUAAGUAACUAUGCACGUCUUGACGGUACCUAAUCAGAAAGCCACGGCUAACUACGU